rnacentral:rRNA from 1 species
AUUGAACGCUGGCGGCAGGCCUAACACAUGCAAGUCGAGCGAGCGGCGGACGUGUGAGUAAUGCCUGGGAAUUGCCCAGUCGAGGGGGAUAACAGUUGGAAACGACUGCUCAUCCCGCAUACGCUUGGAUUUCCCAGGUGGGAUGAGCUAGUUGGUGAGGUAAUGGCUCACCAAGGCGACGCUCCCUAGCUGGUCUGAGAGGAUGAUCAGCCACACUGGAAGUGCGACACGGUCCAGACUCCUACGGGAGGCAGCAGUGGGGAAUAGUGCACAAUGGGGGAAAACCUGAUGCAGCCAUGCCGCGUGUGUGAAGAAGGCCUGAGGGUUGUAAAGCACGUUCAGCGAGGAGGCGUUACUCGCAGAAGAAGCACCGGCGAACUCCGUGCCAGCAGCCGCGGUAAUAC